rnacentral:rRNA from 1 species
AGUGGUCGCUGGCGGUAGGCCUAACACAUGCAAGUCGAACGGCAGCACAGGAGAGCUUGCUCUCUGGGUGGCGAGUGGCGGACGGGUGAGGAAUACAUCGGAAUCUACUCUGUCGUGGGGGAUAACGUAGGGAAACUUACGCUAAUACCGCAUACGACCUACGGGUGAAAGCAGGGGACCUUCGGGCCUUGCGCGAUUGAAUGAGCCGAUGUCGGAUUAGCUAGUUGGCGGGGUAAAGGCCCACCAAGGCGACGAUCCGUAGCUGGUCUGAGAGGAUGAUCAGCCACACUGGAACUGAGACACGGUCCAGACUCCUACGGGAGGCAGCAGUGGGGAAUAUUGGACAAUGGGCGCAAGCCUGAUCCAGCCAUACCGCGUGGGUGAAGAAGGCCUUCGGGUUGUAAAGCCCUUUUGUUGGGAAAGAAAUCCAGCUGGCUAAUACCCGGUUGGGAUGACGGUACCCAAAGAAUAAGCACCGGCUAACUUCGUGCCAGCCGCCGCGGUAA